rnacentral:lncRNA from 1 species
CUUUGCCAUCUUUUUCCGGGUAGUCAUGAGGUUGUAUAGGAGCUUUAAUAAGUACGAACGAUGGCCUAUUCACGGUGUGACUUCCUUAAACUAUGAUGUAGGUAUGCAUUUUAUUAUUUUUUUUUGCUGUUUUCCCUCCUACUGUCAGAGAGAGGGGACCACAUCACCACUACUACAACGAGAAGGCCAGGAACAACUAGAGCACCGUCAAAUCCUAUGGGUAAGACAAGCUCUCAGAGGAAAAAAGGAAGGGAGGAUUUUCCACAUCAGCUACCUGUUUCAGUGGGUAUCCUAGUUUGUGUUUCUACAGUGAUAAUUAAACACCAUGAUCAAAACCAA